rnacentral:misc_RNA from 1 species
CCACCCUCAAUGAGGACCUUUCUUUUCGGAGAGAUGCUUUCUUGUUGGAAUGUGGAGUGUGCUGGCUUGUUCAGCUCCUCUGAAAUGCAUUAGCGAUGUGGUGUCCCACAUGCUUGAGCUUGCAUUGGCAUUGAUAGUCAUUCAUGUCAGAGUAGUUCAGCUGUGGAAAGGUUCACUUGCUCCUAAUUGCGAUGGACUCUCUCCAUCCUUUGACCCA